ACUCAAAUGAAUAGACGGGGGCCCGCACAAGCGGUGGAGCAUGUGGUUCAAUUCGACGCAACGCGAAGAACCUUACCUGGGCUAGACAACAGCGGACCGUCCCAGAGAUGGGACUUCCCCUUCGGGGGCCGCUGGUUCAGGUGCUGCAUGGCUGUCGUCAGCUCGUGUCGUGAGAUGUUGGGUUAAGUCCCGCAACGAGCGCAACCCUUGCCCUUAGUUGCCAUCACCUCGGGUGGGCACUCUAAGGGGACUGCCCGCGUCAAGCGGGAGGAAGGUGGGGAUGACGUCAAGUCCUCAUGGCCCUUAUGUCCAGGGCUACACACGUGCUACAAUGGACCGUACAAAGGGCUGCGAAGCCGUAAGGUGGAGCCAAUCCCAAAAAGCGGUCCUCAGUUCGGAUUGGAGUCUGCAACUCGACUCCAUGAAGGUGGAAUCGCUAGUAAUCGCGGAUCAGCAUGCCGCGGUGAAUACGUUCUCGGGCCUUGUACACACCGCCCGU
rnacentral:rRNA from 1 species